rnacentral:rRNA from 1 species
GUGGGGAAUAUUGGACAAUGGGCGCAAGCCUGAUCCAGCCAUACCGCGUGGGUGAAGAAGGCCUUCGGGUUGUAAAGCCCUUUUGUUGGGAAAGAAAUCCUGUCGAUUAAUACUCGGUGGGGAUGACGGUACCCAAAGAAUAAGCACCGGCUAACUUCGUGCCAGCAGCCGCGGUAAUACGAAGGGUGCAAGCGUUACUCGGAAUUACUGGGCGUAAAGCGUGCGUAGGUGGUGGUUUAAGUCUGCUGUGAAAGCCCUGGGCUCAACCUGGGAAUUGCAGUGGAUACUGGAUCACUAGAGUGUGGUAGAGGGAUGCGGAAUUUCUGGUGUAGCAGUGAAAUGCGUAGAGAUCGGGAGGAACAUCCGUGGCGAAGGCGGCCAUCUGGACCAGCACUGACACUGAGGCACGAAAGCGUGGGGAGCAAACAGGAUUAGAAACCCUGGUAGUCC